UACGUAGGGGGGCAAGCGUUGUCCGGAUUUAUUGGGCGUAAAGAGCGUGUAGGCGGCUAGGUAGGUCCGUUGUGAAAACUCGAGGCUCAACCUCGAGACGCCGGUGGAAACCAUCUAGCUAGAGUCCGGAAGAGGAGAGUGGAAUUCCUGGUGUAGCGGUGAAAUGCGUAGAUAUCUGGAGGAACACCGGUGGCGAAGGCGGGUCUCUGGGCCGAUACUGACGCUGAGGAGCGAAAGCGUGGGGAGCGAACAGG
rnacentral:rRNA from 1 species